rnacentral:rRNA from 2 species
UACGGAGGAUCCAAGCGUUAUCCGGAAUCAUUGGGUUUAAAGGGUCCGUAGGCGGUUUUGUAAGUCAGUGGUGAAAGCCCAUCGCUCAACGGUGGAACGGCCAUUGAUACUGCAAGACUUGAAUUAUUGGGAAGCAACUAGAAUAUGUAGUGUAGCGGUGAAAUGCUUAGAUAUUACAUGGAAUACCAAUUGCGAAGGCAGGUUGCUACCAAUACAUUGACGCUGAUGGACGAAAGCGUGGGGAGCGAACAGG